rnacentral:rRNA from 1 species
ACGAGUGGCGGACGGGUGAGUAAUGCGUAGGAAUUUACCUCAAAGCGGGGGAUAGCCCGGAGAAAUCCGGAUUAAUACCGCAUGUGCUCUACGGAGUAAAGCGGGCCUCUUCUUGAAAGCUCGCACUUUGAGAUAAGCCUACGUCGGAUUAGCUUGUUGGUAGGGUAAAAGCCUACCAAGGCGACGAUCCGUAGCUGGUUUGAGAGGAUGAUCAGCCACACUGGGACUGAGACACGGCCCAG